AUGCUACAUGUCACCGCAUGGUGGUGUGUGGAAAGGGUUUACUGGUCUUGGAUGGGCUCACGGCCUAUCAGCUUGUUGGUGAGGUAAUGGCUCACCAAGGCGACGACGGGUAGCCGGCCUGAGAGGGUGACCGGCCACACUGGGACUGAGACACGGCCCAGACUCCUACGGGAGGCAGCAGUGGGGAAUAUUGCACAAUGGGCGAAAGCCUGAUGCAGCGACGCCGCGUGAGGGAUGACGGCCUUCGGGUUGUAAACCUCUUUCAGCAGGGAAGAAGCCACAAGUGACGGUACCUGCAGAAGAAGCGCCGGCUAACUACGUGCCAGCAGCCGCGGUAAUACGUAGGGCGCAAGCGUUGUCCGGAAUUAUUGGGCGUAAAGAGCUCGUAGGCGGUUUGUCGCGUCUGCUGUGAAAGCCCGGGGCUUAACCCCGGGUGUGCAGUGGGUACGGGCAGACUAGAGUGCAGUAGGGGAGACUGGAAUUCCUGGUGUAGCGGUGGAAUGCGCAGAUAUCAGGAGGAACACCGAUGGCGAAGGCAGGUCUCUGGGCUGUUACUGACGCUGAGGAGCGAAAGCAUGGGGAGCGAACAGGAUUAGAUACCCUGGUAGUCCAUGCCGUAAA
rnacentral:rRNA from 1 species